GUCAGGAUGGCCGAGCGGUCUAAGGCGCUGCGUUCAGGUCGCAGUCCACUUGUUUGGUCGUGGGUUCGAUUCCCACUUCUGACA